GCACCAGUCCUGUGAUGUGGAGCCCAGUGGAACUUGCAGAGGGCCUUUGAGUCUCGAGGGGAUUGAAUUAGGGUUCGUCAAUGGUGCAGGGGUUUGGGGUGGCCGGAGCAGCUUUGUUGCACUGCGCGGUGUUCAUAGGCGGAGGUAAAUUUUUCUGUGGGAGCUCUACGUCGGGGGAGAGAGAGAUCCACCAAUACGGAAUUUUGAUUCGUUGUACGGUGCACAGUGGUUGCUGCAUCAGGGGAUGCGUUAGGAUAUGUAUUAGGUUUUGAGGGGCUUGCGUAUUGCGUUGGGUGGCUUUCGGUGUUCCCACGCGUAUCAUUAUUGUUGAGAUACCUCACUUCUCCUUUCAGUCUUCAAUAGAGAGGGUCCAGUUUGACUUGAAUGGAAGUCGCGAAGUGCUUUUUGGUGGAGAGCACUUGAGCCGCGCGAAGUUUUGUUGAAUUCUUCAACGCCUGGUGCAUGUGUAUUUGGAAAGCGGCGCUGUGCAAGUCGUGGUGGAUCAUUUGCGGACAAUGUGAACGAUGAGAUGUAAUUUUCUUAAAACCUUAUUGAGAAAUGGCAACCUUACUUGUCAUACUUGCCUUGGUGGCAGAUUGUUGAACUUCAAUUUAAGAGCCUCUUUUGGUAUUCUCUACGACAAAA